rnacentral:rRNA from 1 species
GAUGAACGCUGGCGGCGUGCCUAAUACAUGCAAGUCGAGCGAACAGACGAGGAGCUUGCUCCUCUGACGUUAGCGGCGGACGGGUGAGUAACACGUGGAUAACCUACCUAUAAGACUGGGAUAACUUCGGGAAACCGGAGCUAAUACCGGAUAAUAUAUUGAACCGCAUGGUUCAAUAGUGAAAGACGGUUUUGCUGUCACUUAUAGAUGGAUCCGCGCCGCAUUAGCUAGUUGGUAAGGUAACGGCUUACCAAGGCAACGAUGCGUAGCCGACCUGAGAGGGUGACCGGCCAACCUGAAACUGAGACACGUCCCAGACCCCUACGGGAGGAAGCAGUAGGGAACUUUCGGCAAGGGGCGAAGGCUUGACGGAGCAACGCGGCGGGGGUGAUGAAGGUCUUCGGAUCGUAAACCCCUGUUAUAGGGAAGAACAAAUGUGUAAGUAACUAUGCACGUCUUGACGGUACCUAAUCAGAAAGCCACGGCUAACUACGUG